UCCUGGGUGGUCCAGUGGUUAGGACUUGGCGCUUUUACUCCCAAGGGCCCAGGUUCAAUCCCUGGUUGGGGAA